rnacentral:misc_RNA from 1 species
UUUCCGUAGGUGAACCUGCGGAAGGAUCAUUAUUGUAUAACCGAGGUGCGAGGGCUGUCGAUGACCCGAAAGGUCGUGCACGCCCGAGUGCCCUCACAAACAUCCAUCUCACCCCUAUGUGCACCACCGCGUGGAUCCGCCUUUGGCUUGUUCGGAGGGGGGCUUACGUUUUCACACAAACUUUGUAUGCAGUGUAGAAUGUAUUUUUUGUUUUUGCGAUCACGCAAUCAAUACAACUUUCAACAACGGAUCUCUUGGCUCUC